rnacentral:rRNA from 1 species
UACGGAGGGUGCGAGCGUUGUCCGGAAUCACUGGGCGUAAAGGGCGCGUAGGCGGCCUGGUAAGUAGGGGGUGAAAUCCUGCGGCUUAACCGCAGGGCUGCCUUCUAAACUGUCAGGCUCGAGCACGGUAGAGGCAGAUGGAAUUCCCGGUGUAGCGGUGGAAUGCGUAGAGAUCGGGAAGAACACCAGUGGCGAAGGCGGUCUGCUGGGCCGUUGCUGACGCUGAGGCGCGACAGCGUGGGGAGCAAACAGG